UAGGGAAUCUUCGGCAAUGGGGGGAACCCUGACCGAGCAACGCCGCGUGAGUGAAGAAGGUUUUCGGAUCGUAAAGCUCUGUUGUUAAGGAAGAACGAGUGUGAGAAUGGAAAGUUCAUACUGUGACGGUACUUAACCAGAAAGGGACGGCUAACUACGUGCCUGCAGCCGCGGUAAUACGUAGGUCCCGAGCGUUGUCCGGAUUUAUUGGGCGUAAAGCGAGCGCAGGCGGUUAGAUAAGUCUGAAGUUAAAGGCAGUGGCUCAACCAUUGUAGGCUUUGGAAACUGUUUAACUUGAGUGCAGAAGGGGAGAGUGGAAUUCCAUGUGUAGCGGUGAAAUGCGUAGAUAUAUGGAGGAACACCGGUGGCGAAAGCGGCUCUCUGGUCUGUAACUGACGCUGAGGCUCGAAAGCGUGGGGAGCGAACAGGAUUAGAUACCCUGGUAGUCCACGCCGUAAACGAUGAGUGCUAGGUGUUAGGUCCUUUCCGGGACUUAGUGCCGCAGCUAACGCAUUAAGCACUCCGCCUGGGGAGUACGACCGCAAGGUUG
rnacentral:rRNA from 1 species